rnacentral:rRNA from 1 species
UGAGGAAUAUUGGUCAAUGGGCGGAGAGCCUGAACCAGCCAAGUCGCGUGAGGGAAGACGGUCCUAUGGAUUGUAAACCUCUUUUGUCGGGGAGCAAGGCCACUCACGAGUGAGUGGAAGGAGAGUACCCGAAGAAAAAGCAU